rnacentral:rRNA from 1 species
AUGGAGGCGUCGGCGUACAAGUUCGGGCCCUACAGGAUCGACGCGAGGGAGGUCUUCCAUGCCACGCCCCUCUCCUACGCCAUGGUCAACCUACGCCCCCUCCUCCCUGGUCAUGUCCUUGUGUGCCCCAAGCGUGAAGUGAAACGCUUUACUGAUCUAAGCACUGAUGAGACAAGCGAUUUAUGGGUGACUGCAAAGGAAGUUGGUGUACGGCUUGAGCAGUACCACAAAGCUUCUUCGCUUACAUUUGCAAUUCAGGAUGGUCCUCAAGCUGGCCAAACAGUUCCGCAUGUCCACAUCCAUGUGAUCCCCAGGAAGAAGGGAGAUUUUGAAAAUAAUGAUGAAAUAUAUGACGCGAUUGAUGUGAAAGAAAAGGAAUUGAAGGAAAAACUUGAUCUGGAUGUUGAAAGAAAAGAUAGAACCAUGGAAGAAAUGAGUCAUGAGGCUAACGAGUACCGUGCUCUUUUCUCCUAG